rnacentral:lncRNA from 1 species
UAUCAUAUUUUACUUUUCCUGAGAGCUGAGAGAGACGGAGAACGGAGCGAGAGCAAGAACUGAAGAUUCUCAAUUCUACUACGGUUUUUCUUGUGGAUGUUUAUUUGUUUUAUUGAGAUAUUGAUUUUUAGUCAUAUGUCUAUGUGUGGCUAAAAUCCCUUUUUCCCAGGGUUUAUGGAGUAAAUAUGGUUUGAAAUUCUG